GCUGGGUGUGGUAGCUCACACCUGUAAUCCUAGCACUUUAGGAGGCUGAGGCAGGAGGAUCCCUUGAGCUCAGGAGUUUUGAGACCAGCCUGGGCAACAUAGGGAGACCUUGUCUCUAAAAAGAAAAUAGAAAAAUAGCAAGUGCAGUGGCUCAUGCCUGUAACCCUAAUGCUUUGGGAAGGUGAGGCAGGCAGAUUGCUUGAGGCCAGGAGUUCGAGACUAGCCUGGCCAACAUGGCGAAACCCUGUCUCU
rnacentral:sRNA from 1 species